GGCAUAGCAUGCAAGUCACGGGAGGUGAUGGUAUCACUCUACUUGGCGCUGGUUAGGCUUCAGCUAGAGUACUGUGUCCAGUUUUGGUCACCAAUGUAUAGAAAGGAUCCAGAGAAAAUGAAAAUGAUCCA